CUCCCUCCUGGCCCACAGUUCCUUAUGUCCGUGAUGCCUUUCAGCUGCUCUGGCCUGCUUCCUCUAGAGGAGAGGGCGGGGCCACAGGGCAGAGGGCAGCCGUUGGUACAGAAGGAACUCUGUGAGGGCCUCUAGCAAGAUGGGCCUACACUGGCUCGCCUCGACUUGAAUCACAUUCGCGCAUCCAAGCUUGUCAGUGCUUUUGACAGCCACAUCACACGUUCAUCUUGGCGUCAGAAGAUCUCAGGCCUGAAAGCUUUCAUCGGUUCUCUGUGCCUCAGCAGAACCAUGAAAUGAGGAAGCAGAAUGAGGGGGUUAGAGUCAGCAGCCAGCCCUACUUUGGCCAGAAAAACUGUUUAACAGAUUAAAUUCCAGGGACUCGGUGGUGACUGGCCGCGAGAAGGGGUGACUGUGAGGCACAGGGCUUCGCUGUCGAGCAGCACCAUUCCCCCAGUGAUCUCAAAGGAAGAAGGACCCGAGCUGUCGUUUUUACGACGUCGGGGCAUUCAAACCUGAACUCCGUUCCAUUGACAUCUAGGAGUGUCUCCUCAGAGGCGAGCCAGGCUUGUUUGGGGAAAUGCUGGACUCCAUGACUUCUAAGCUUCCAGUCAUCUCUUGCUCUGUGAGUCUCGGCCCCUGUACCCCUGCGUGGAUGUGGGGGUGGCCUUGGAUCUGCGUCAUCUCCCAGCUGUGUGCUCUGGUCCUCCGUGAUGGUGCCAGGCUGGCACGGAGGCAGCUGUGUGAUGGGAACCUGGACGACAGCAGGUCGGCAGAGGAGGCAGAAGCUGAUCUCGGAUAACCCAGAGCAUGGUUUCCAGCUGAUGAGGAAACUGAGGCCCAGCUGAUACGUGAUGGAGCCAGACUGAACCCAGACCUUCAAGCAUCAUUCAGGUUUUGGCACUUGCAGAUUAAACCCACCAUCUUUCCAGCAUCCUGGAGACCCCAGCUGACACGGGGUGGGCCAGCGAUUUGCUCACCAAGGGAAGCUGAUGUUCCCAAAGGGGAAAA